GCACAACCACAACGGGGGGGGGGGGCUUUAGAAGCACAAAAUAGUGCCUCGAGUGACGUGGCCCGCCGCCCGUCACGGGGUAACCCUUAGUCCAGACUCCGACGCCAAAUUCCUGCCUCCCCGCCCCUCCGCGGACGGGAGAAGGUUAUCUCGGGUUAAUAUUACCGUCAGUCGUAGGGAAGGGGACUCUCGGCCUAUUCGCCCGACGCCUUCGCCCGCGUUUACCUGAGCGGAGCCUGCUUGGGCAAAACCCGCACGAUUGAACCCCAGAGUGGAGCCCCUUUUGAAGAGAGUUUGACUUUGAUUUGCCUACAUGAAUGUAUCAUGCUGAGCUGUCAGAGCCACGAAUGUCUCAGGGGUUAAGAAGCCGAACUUGUCCACUGGAGAAGCUGACAGGCCAGAUUCGAGACCUGAGUGAUGCCUGGAUGAGCUCCCAUUACAGCUUGGAAAAGAUUUGCAGCAUGGCAUCGUCUCUGAUCACGCUUGCCGGCCACACUUAAAGGCUGGUCACCUCAUCCUAGGCAGCAAAGAAAGAGAAGGAAGGACGCAGCACUAUGCUAACAGCCGGGAAAGACACAUGAUUGACAUGCUGGCACAGAGGAACGGGGUUAAAUGAGAACACGUCUGCAGGAGAGCAACGGGGUGGGGUGGGGAGGUGAGUGAAAAACACACAUUGUGAUGUCAACAAACUCUGCUCCUCGUGGUGCUGGAAUUGCAGCAUCACUUGCAAGUAAGCAAAAGGCAGGAUUUCAGAUGGAUUUCACUCUGACCAAACUAUGGCUUGCUGCAGACAUCCAAGAGGGGAGAAUGACCCAAUGGUAAUGACGCAUACAGUUAGCCCCAAAAGAGUUUGUUCUCUCGUUCAACUAACCCCGACUUUCUGUAACUAUGAAGCAACAUAGCUGAGUGAUUCAUAGGGUAAUUGCAAGCUUUAAGGGCAGGAUCUUUCGCCCGAAGGUAGUUUCUGCUGAGUUGGAGACUGUACAUGGGGACACUGAAUUGUGAGCAAGCUUGUAUAUUCAAUAGACACAAAUAUUUUCCCCAUAUUGGAUGUCCAUGUAUAUCCCCUAAACCCCUAACAGGGUUAUAUCAUUAUAACUUUGAGCCACAGCAAUGGUUCUCAACCUUUACUUCGCCAUGGAGCCGCUUUAAAUAUAUUUUGUGGCCAUUGUCUGUAGCCACGGACUCCCAAGACUUAAGAUUUAAGUCAUAAUAUUUCUUCAAGCCUUCACGGACCCCCCCCCCUGUGAUGACAUCAUGUCCCCCCCCAAGGGUCUGGGGACCAUAGAUUGAGAACCAUUGAGCGAGGCUACAAAUGUACAGAGUGUUUCUCUACCAGCCCUGUGAAUUUGAGUGCAAGAGGUUGUCAGAAUAUUCAUCAACUGGAAUAGGACAUGGUAAUAAGGUUAGCCAAUCAGUGGUGGGUUUCCAUUUUUUUCCCCUACCGGUUCGCUCGUGCCCGAUGCUUCUGUACACACGCAGAAGUAUCUGGGCGGGUGGGCAGAGCCUUCCAUCACCACCACUACCGGUUUGCCCGAUCCGAGCUGAACCGGCAGAAACCCACCUCUGCAGCCAAUGUAUAGGCAUGGCAACCGAGACAGCCAAUGGGAACUAUUUGGUGACUGAGAGCCAUGCCAGGCAGCUCAGAGCCUGGGCGUGGCUUACCUAUGUAACUCUGAGUCUGUGCAAGAGAACUAAUCUAAUCUGCUCUCUGAAUUGGAAACUGGAAACCAAUUUCUCCUCUGCCUGUGUUUUGCUUGUAACUCUCUAUCAUGUUGGAAGAAUCUGUUGGUAUUGUACAUUUAUUCAUCUGUUAUUAUGUAUAUAAAGAAGCUAAAUGAA